UGGAUGGAUGGAUGGAUGAUGGAUGGAUGGAUAAUGGAUGGAUGGAUAAUGGAUGGAUGGAUGGAUAAUGGAUAGA
rnacentral:lncRNA from 1 species